rnacentral:tRNA from 1 species
GCGGUUGUGCGGUGGGGAACACGGGCACACUAAAUCAGUAAGUUACGAGCGCUUCCCAAGCUGAAUGUCGUCGGUUCGAUCCCGAUCGCCCGCUCCA